UACGUAGGGUGCGAGCGUUGUCCGGAAUCACUGGGCGUAAAGAGCUCGUAGGUGGUUUGUCGCGUUGUUCGUGAAAUCUCACGGCUUAACUGUGAGCGUGCGGGCGAUACGGGCAGACUGGAGUACUGCAGGGGAGACUGGAAUUCCUGGUGUAGCGGUGGAAUGCGCAGAUAUCAGGAGGAACACCGGUGGCGAAGGCGGGUCUCUGGGCAGUAACUGACGCUGAGGAGCGAAAGCGUGGGGAGCGAACAGG
rnacentral:rRNA from 1 species